GGAUAGCUCAGUUGGUUAGAGUGUGGUGCUGAUAAUGCCAAGGUUACAGGUUCGAUCCCCGUAUGAGACA